rnacentral:sRNA from 1 species
GGCACCGAGAAGAAAACUGGUGUCUAUAUGCAACAGAUGCCCUAUCCCUGUUACGUUGAUGACAUCUUUCUGCGGGUGAUGAGCCGGUCAAUGCCCCUCUUCAUGACGCUGGCCUGGAUUUACUCAGUGGCUGUGAUCAUCAAGGGCAUCGUGUAUGAGAAGGAGGCACGGCUGAAAGAGACCAUGCGGAUCAUGGGCCUGGACAACAGCAUCCUCUGGUUUAGCUGGUUCAUUAGUAGCCUCAUUCCUCUUCUUGUGAGCGCUGGCCUGCUGGUGGUCAUCCUGAAGUUAGGAAACCUGCUGCCCUACAGUGAUCCCAGCGUGGUGUUUGUCUUCCUGUCCGUGUUUGCUGUGGUGACAAUCCUGCAGUGCUUCCUGAUUAGCACACUCUUCUCCAGAGCCAACCUGGCAGCAGCCUGUGGGGGCAUCAUCUACUUCACGCUGUACCUACCCUACGUCCUGUGUGUGGCAUGGCAGGACUACGUGGGCUUCACACUCAAGAUCUUCGCUAGCCUGCUGUCUCCUGUGGCUUUUGGGUUUGGCUGUGAGUACUUUGCCCUUUUUGAGGAGCAGGGCAUUGGAGUGCAGUGGGACAACCUGUUUGAGAGUCCUGUGGAGGAAGAUGGCUUCAAUCUCACCACUUCGGUCUCCAUGAUGCUGUUUGACACCUUCCUCUAUGGGGUGAUGACCUGGUACAUUGAGGCUGUCUUUCCAGGUACACUGCUUUGGGCAUCUGUUUGGAAAAUAUGACUUCUAGCUGAUGUCCUUUCUUUGUGCUAGAAUCUCUGCAGUGCAUGGGCUUCCCUG